AAAUAAAACGAUAGUACAAAAGAGUAUUUCCCUAUUUUUUCACAAAGAGUUCCAUGAUUUGAGCCAAUGUUUGCCAAAAACUCGAAAUCAAGCCUCUUUCUCAAUGUCGCCAAUUUCUUUCCCCAAAUAAACUGCUACUGCUAGUCUGCUGCAAAGCUUGUGCUAAGUGUUCGAUCAAAUGCUGAACUCAAGCAACAAAGCAUGGAGAAUCAUCCCAAGACCUUUACUCGAAACUGUUCUCAACAACCAUGUCCAACAUCACCGUGUUCAUCAACCUCUCAUCCUCCACGGCCCUCGCGGCGUCGGCAAAACCACCGUCAUCCUCGAACGUUUAAUGGAGAAUUGGAACAAAGGACCCCAUCUUACAGGAUACAUUGAUUUUGCGCAACCCAUUAAGGAGUACCACCCAUCUCACAAUGCUUCAUUUCCAUGGUGUUCUUGGAAUUCCUGCUCUGUAACUCUUCCUUCUCUCUCUUUAUUGAGUACCCAUUUGGAGAAAUGUCUAGAAUCAAUGGCUGAAAGGGGGAUUGAGUUGGGACAAAUUAAUUCGCAUCAAAUUUUUACUACCCUUAAUAAGUGGCAUGGGAUUAGUCAUACCCUCAGGCACAUUUUGAAAUCGUCUUCGAAUUCGAGCUCGAAAAUUGGGGCGAUUUCGAGUAAGGUUUCGGCUUCUGUGUUGUGGGAUAAGGCUGUUUUUGCUUAUUCUGGUAAGUUGAAUAGUAAGGAGAUUGAGGGGGUUGUUGGGUUGGAGGGAGGUAAAAAGGGGUUGACUGUUGAGGAGAGGUCUUACUUGAAAGAGGCUGUGGUUGCUUUGAGAUUGGCAAAGGAGGUUAUAAGGGUUCAGCAGCAGUGGAGGGCUAAAGCUGUUGGUGAUUUGAAUAGGACUGGUGGGUUUUCGAGAUCACUGGCGAUGUCGGCUACUGAUUGGCCGUAUUUGUUGCUAGAAUUGUUGUCUUCAGCUUCUGAAAUGGAUCAUUUUCAGCCAAAGCUCGUGAUUAAUAAUAUAGAACUCCUGAAGAAUGCUAUUUCGACAAAUGAUUCUACAGUUUCUGCACCAACUUACCAUGAUAGUUUAAUAUGGAGAAUUAUAUCUUUGGGGGCAAAUGAGAUGUGUCUUCCCAUCAUUUUUGUAACAUCCGAUAGCUACUAUUCGUAUCAUGCGUACAUCGAUUUUGGUUUUCCAGACAUUUUUAUAUCCCGUGAGACCUUCGGUUGGACGCCCAAUGAAGGCAAAUUACAUAUGUUUCCUGACUACUUCAGUGGCUCAGAGUGGACAAUAGUUACUGAAGUGCUUGGUGCAAAUUCACGUCAUUUAUUCGAACUUCACGCACUCAAAGAAAGCAACCAAUAUCUCAACAUGAUAGAUCAUACACGCAGCACCUUUGAGGAUAUAGUGGAUGCAUAUUUGGCAUAUCUACAGAUUACUGUGGUGAAUCCAGCCAUGGACAAAGCUUUGUCACUUCUGCAAAAAUUUGCUCUUGAUGCACUCAAUGGAAAGAUACCAAAAGAUAAAUUACGUUUUGGUGCUCCUUGGAGGCAUCCUCCGCGCACAGAUGAUCCAAGUCUUCGUUUGGAGUGGGCAAAGGUUCAACUUAUGGAUUUCGUGCAGUCAUUGGUUAAUACUGAAUUUGGGCUUAACUAUUUUGCUGAUUGCAGCCUUGAAAUAUUUGAUGAUCCUUCAGCUGUAGCAUUGUUAGAGGUGGGUGUGCUUUAUGCUCAACGAGAUCCAUCCUUCAUUCGUCCAGUGUCUCGUGGUAUGCAAAGAUGCCUGGUGAGAUGGCUUGUCCAGGAGCAACUACAGAUGAACUGGUUUGCCUCCCUGCGUUUUCUGUGGCAAAGAUUAUUCCGAGGUCGCUACUAUCGGCACUUGAUGUUACAAGUUGGCUAUAAAUUCUAAAUUACACGAGCCAACACGAGGAGCUGUCCUAAGGGUCUGAUUAUAUGUGCAUGAACAGCAUUGAUGUCUUUAGGAAACAAAUGUGGGUAAAUGACCAGAGAACUUGCUGAAUUAGAGGAAGUUUCAGAAAGGAUCUGAGAUGCUUUACUUAAAACUCUUUCUUUGAAGCUAUAGUGCAGUACAUAAAAGGUAAUUUAUCUAGGAGUUUAUCAUUGUAUGUAGGGGUGAACAAAAAUCUCAGAUGCAUAAACAUACCUGGUUUCAGAUCCUGAAUCACUUGGGAUCCGACAAGUCCAGACUCUCCGGCUUUGGCAGAACCUGUUUUAAAUCCCAAAAUCUGUUAUCUGUUGCUAAUCUAGUCCAGAUUCUCCAAUUUUUGACCCAGAACCCGCUUGAUAAAAUCAGUAAUGGAAACCAUUACCAGAACUAGCUUCUCAAGCAUUUACACAAUUACACCCAAGCCCAAGAAUAAAGUUUGUUUACUGCCUAGUUACUUCAUAGUAUAUAUACUGUUCUGAAAAAUGUGGCUAAUGCAUACUGUACAUUCUUUUAUUGCUUUGUUGCCUGAAACAAAUGGUAUUACAUAAAAUGCCAAGUGAAAGGUCAAAAUUCUUGAAGUUUGAAUUCAUUUAUUGUAUGAGAAGAUUGAAAUAACAGGAAUUAUAUUUUCAAGCA